GUUGGGUGGGGUGGCGCACACCUGUAAUCCCACUGCUGGGGAGUCUGAGGCAGGAGGAUCAAGAGUUCAAAGCCAACAACUUAGUGAGGUCCCAAGUAACUUAGGGAGACCCUGUCUCAA
rnacentral:sRNA from 1 species